rnacentral:rRNA from 1 species
GGCCCAGACUCCUACGGGAGGCAGCAGUGGGGAAUAUUGCACAAUGGGGGAAACCCUGAUGCAGCGACGCCGCGUGAGUGAAGAAGUAUUUCGGUAUGUAAAGCUCUAUCAGCAGGGAAGAAAAUGACGGUACCUGACUAAGAAGCCCCGGCUAACUACGUGCCAGCAGCCGCGGUAAUACGUAGGGGGCAAGCGUUAUCCGGAUUUACUGGGUGUAAAGGGAGCGUAGACGGCAUGGCAAGUCAGAUGUGAAAGCCCGGGGCUCAACCCCGGGACUGCUCUUGGAACUGCAUGGCUGGAGUACAGGAGGGGCAGGCGGAAUUCCUAGUGUAGCGGUGAAAUGCGUAGAUAUUAGGAGGAACACCGGUGGCGAAGGCGGCCUGCUGGACUGUGACUGACGUUGAGGCCCGAAGGCGUGGGGAGCAAACAGGAUUAGAUACCCUUGUA